GCCCUCUUAGCUCAGUGGUAGAGCGUUCCACUCGUACGUCCGUUUCGGGAUUGGUGUUCGAUGGAAAGGUCGGUUGUUCAAUCCAGCCAGGGGGCA